GUGGGCCAGAGGAUAGGCAGGCUAGAAGAGCCGACUCCUACAGCUGCGAUCCGGGAGGUGCCUGAAACUGUUGCCCCCUGACUUCUAUCGCCCCCAUGGAGGCAAACAAAUCUGGGACAGGGAAUGGGUCUGGGAGAGAAGAUGAAAAGACUGAGGAUCAGAGAGGUGAGCAGUAGCUUUCCCAAGGGCUCAGAGCCAAGAAGCGUUGAAGCUUAAAGCACGCCGCGGCAGGGAAGAUCAAGCAAGCCCUGCGCCUAUCUGCAGAUUCAACAUCAUCCAUGUCAGGAACACGGUUUUGGACGUGACCCCAUUCCAGCCCCCUAGAGCCGGCAGAGAAGGACCACCCACUUCCAGCACGGCCAGGUCUGCAGUUCAGUCCUGGAGCCAGGGAAGGCUGCAUACACUCCCUGAAAGAUGAAACAACCCCAUACCUCUCGCCUCCUAUGCUGGCUCCAUUCUCAGUGCCUCAGACCAGAGCUGGGCCUGGUGAGGGCAUCCUGAAGGAGGAUGGGCCUGCCUGAGAGAGGAUAGAGGGACGGAGUUUGGAACACACUGAGUGGGUACAACCUGGCAGCCGGAACGGUGAGGCUCAGGCAGGGGAGAUGAUGGCCUCGUUGCCACAGAAGAGGCCUCGAGCCAUGCUGAGUGAGGCAGGUAGGGCAUGGGAGCUGGGAAGCAGUGGGGGCCCCUUGAGGUGCAGGGAGCUAGGAGGGAGGCAGCACAGGGGAGGCCAGGCUGGGCUCAGGGCUGAGCGGUAAUUAAAGGAGACGUAGGGGGCUCCCCAGGGCCAGCGGGGCUGGUAACUGACACGCGGGCCCCAUUGCUCCGCUCAUAUUUCUCGCUGGAUCGAUACGUUUGACUCCCGACAAGACAAUAAUCGCUUGUACGCGGCCGGCGAGUCGAUCAAAUACAUUAUUAGAGCGAGGUCCCCCGGGGGCCCAGCGGGGAGUGGUGGGGGGGAGCAGCCAGCCCACCGGGGACAGCAGAGCGAGAUUCUUCACCCCUUCAGGGCCCCCCAGCCGUGGCCUCUUCCUCUUGGCCACCCCUGGGGAUCCUCUCUGUGGCUCAGUUCCCCAGCCUCUCUCUAAAUGCCUGCUGCUUUGGCGAUCUCUCUACUCAGCCCCCAGCAUCAUCCUUGCUCUGUGAGGGGACCCAAGGGUUCUUUCCCCAUAGGCACUGCCCUCAUCUGUAGGGCUAUAGCAUGUAGGAGCUCAGAGAGGCCCCUCAGACCCCUAGCUUGUCAGGAGACAGAGAGACCAAGCCUCAGGCCACACUCCGAGUCCAUGGCUGGGCCAGGAGAUUAACUUGGGCCCAAGACUCAAUGACACCCACCUCCCUCUGCCCAGUCUCCUUGCUGCAUCUAAGCACACGGGGCUUCAGCAGCACCCAGGCCAGGGGCAACCUCUGGGGGUUAGGGAAAGCUAACUUAGAGACCCAAACAAGCAGGAAAACAGGAUGACAGGGGUGGCAGACAAACACAUACACAAAGAGAUGUGUGUCUGCUCCUGCUGCAGGGCCAUGUGGUCCCACAGUGGGCCUCAGAUACCCUCAAACCAUGCCCAGCUUCAGCUCUGGCCCACCCUAGACACUGCUUGCCACUCUUGCCCACUUUCCUGGCUUCUGGACUCAAGCCUAUUUCCCCUUUUUUAAAAAAUUAAAUUAAGCUUUAGCUUUAUUUUUAAA